GACGAACGCUGGCGGCGUGCCUAAUACAUGCAAGUUGAGCGCUGAAGGUUGGUACUUGUACCAACUGGAUGAGCAGCGAACGGGUGAGUAACGCGUGGGGAAUCUGCCUUUGAGCGGGGGACAACUUUUGGAAACGAAUGCUAAUACCGCAUAAAAACUUUAAACACAAGUUUUAAGUUUGAAAGAUGCAAUUGCAUCACUCAAAGAUGAUCCCGCGUUGUAUUAGCUAGUUGGUGAGGUAAAGGCUCACCAAGGCGAUGAUACAUAGCCGACCUGAGAGGGUGAUCGGCCACAUUGGGACUGAGACACGGCCCAAACGCCUACGGGAGGCAGCAGUAGGGAAUCUUCGGCAAUGGACGAAAGUCUGACCGAGCAACGCCGCGUGAGUGAAGAAGGUUUUCGGAUCGUAAAACUCUGUUGGUAGAGAAGAACGUUGGUGAGAGUGGAAAGCUCAUCAAGUGACGGUAACUAACCAGAAAGGGACGGCUAACUACGUG
rnacentral:rRNA from 1 species